rnacentral:rRNA from 1 species
UACGUAGGGGGCAAGCGUUGUCCGGAAUCAUUGGGCGUAAAGCGCGUGUAGGCGGUUCGGUAAGUCCGCUGUGAAAGUCGGGGGCUCAACCCUCGAAUGCCGGUGGAUACUGUCGGACUAGAGUACGGAAGAGGCGAGUGGAAUUCCUGGUGUAGCGGUGAAAUGCGCAGAGUAUCAGGAGGAACACCCGUGGCGAAGGCGGUUCUCUGGGACGGUACUGACGCUGAGACGCGAAAGCGUGGGGAGCGAACAGG